GGGGAGACCAUGUCCUGGCGGAACGUGAGUAUAAAUUUCUUUUGGUAGUGCUCUGAGCAAAUGUGUUUCAGAUGUGCUCUGUCUGUCAUGUUUUUAGCAAUACCUUCAUUUAAAUAUGUGCAUGUUUGUUAGGAGUAGUGUAUAUAAAUUUCCUGUGACAUUUAGAAUUGUGCUACAUAUACGAUUAGCAACAGAGAUAGUGAUUUCCUGCUAAUUUCUGGUGAUAUUUGCUUUGGGGAUUUACAGAAAUAAAAUGAUUCCCUAUUAUUGACUCGUGAAAGCUUUGCACACUUUAUUUUUACUAUUUGGUAUGUGUGGAUUAUUUACUCAUAGCUAAACAUGCAUUGCUAAAAAUCAUCCAAGCUAUUGCAUUUUGAAAGCUGCUUUUCCUCUUUUCUUUUGCUGAUGCUGCACCAAUGUUGGUUAUUUUUCUGGACAUGAUAUCCUAUCAUGGGGGAUGGCUUUUUAGAAACUAUUUUAAACUAAAUUUAGAUAAUUUACUGGGUUAUAUCUGCUUGUUCUAAAAACUUUUGGCUGGGAUGAUGAACAGACAAGUGCCUGUCCUUUGUAAGUAUUUCAUCUUCAGUAUAUAUUCUCAUGAGAUGCAUAUUGGACCAGAUUGCGAGUGGUGCCAUUGUUUGA
rnacentral:misc_RNA from 1 species